AACGACAGACAAAUCCUUAGCACAAGCGCCCACUUCUAUUACUUGAUUCAAUCAGCAUGAGAGAACGUGUCUCUGGCUUUUCGUGGCGACAGCCCCGACUGGGUUCAAGCUAGAUCGAAUUCCGGAUUCGGGUGUGUAGCUCAGGUGGUUAGAGCGCGUCCCUGAUAAGGACGAGGUCGGUGGUUCGAGUCCACCCAUACCCACCAACUCUGCUGAAAAAAGUUCUGCAAGAUUCCAGAUCAUUCAGGAUGUUGAAUGGUCACUGUUCUUUAAAAAUUCGUAUUGAGAAAGACACUUGCUACUGGGUGUUGUCGUUGUGACGUUUGUCACGAGGGCGAUGCCUGGGUGGUGAGUGAAGUACUGUACAAGCGCAUGAUUUAUUUGUGUGUAUGUUUAUUGGCGGUUUGUUUCCUGCCCGUGAGGGUCGGAGACGAACAAUGAUCGUUACGAUAUGACUGAGGUUUGAGCGGUGUUCAGCAAUGAACGUCGAAGAGAGUCUGAGGUUAUAUGGU
rnacentral:misc_RNA from 1 species